rnacentral:SRP_RNA from 1 species
GCUUAAGGUUGAAGCGGCGUAAAACUCCGAACCGUGUCAGGAUGGAAACAUAGCAGCACUAAGGUGACCUUUGCGGGUGUUUUAAUCUUAAGAAGA